UUGAGUAAGAGAUAAGGAAGAGGCUCGUGGUCGGGGCGCGCGGAGUUCCACGCACUGGGCAGCGCCUCCGCCGCUCUCCCGCUUGCCAGGACCGGCAGCCUGGGGGUGGUUUGCUUCGAGCGGAGCCGUUCUCGCCGCAGAAGGAGGGCGUCCGGCCAUCCCGCCUCCCUGAGGCUGAUUCUCAGCGCGGCGGCAGAUCGAGCAUCAUCACUGCCAUCCCUUGACAGCAUCUUCUCCCCACGGGGCAAAAGCAGCCGCCGGUUUAUUUUUUCGUCUCGGGAAAGUUCCAGCGCAACCGUGCACCAUUUCACUGUGGACACUAUACCCUUUGAUAGAGAUGGGAGAUAUGGGCGACCCACCGAAAAAAAAACGGCUGAUUUCCUUGUGCGUCGGUUGCGGCAAUCAAAUCCACGACCAGUAUAUUCUGCGAGUUUCCCCGGAUUUGGAAUGGCACGCGGCGUGUUUGAAGUGCGCGGAAUGUAACCAGUAUUUGGACGAGACUUGUACAUGCUUUGUAAGGGAUGGGAAAACCUACUGUAAGCGAGACUAUAUCAGGUUAUACGGCAUCAAGUGCGCCAAGUGCAACAUCGGCUUCAGCAAGAACGACUUCGUGAUGCGCGCCCGGUCCAAAGUGUACCACAUCGAGUGCUUUCGCUGCGUGGCCUGCAGCCGCCAGCUCAUUCCCGGAGACGAGUUCGCGCUGCGAGAGGACGGCCUCUUUUGUCGGGCGGACCACGACGUGGUAGAAAGAGCCAGCCUCGGCGCCGGGGACCCCCUCAGCCCCCUGCACCCCGCCAGGCCGCUCCAGAUGGCAGCAGAACCUAUCUCCGCCAGGCAGCCGGCUCUCCGGCCCCACGUCCAUAAGCAGCCGGAAAAGACUACCCGCGUCCGGACAGUCCUCAACGAAAAGCAACUCCACACACUGAGGACCUGCUAUGCCGCCAAUCCCCGGCCCGACGCCCUCAUGAAGGAGCAGCUGGUGGAAAUGACCGGCCUCAGCCCCAGAGUGAUCCGGGUCUGGUUUCAAAACAAGCGCUGCAAGGACAAAAAACGGAGCAUUAUGAUGAAGCAGCUGCAGCAACAGCAGCCCAACGACAAGACGAACAUCCAGGGGAUGACGGGCACUCCCAUGGUGGCAGCCAGUCCAGAGAGACACGACGGCGGCUUGCAGGCGAACCCAGUGGAGGUACAGAGUUACCAGCCGCCCUGGAAAGUCCUCAGCGAUUUCGCCUUGCAGAGUGACAUAGAUCAACCGGCUUUUCAGCAACUCCCUCCCUGGCUGUUUCUGCUUCCUGAUCUGAAAAAACUCCAUGGGUGGCAUGAUAAAUCCUACAAAAAUUCCUUGGGCUUUAACUGAAGUGAGUGAUGUCACAGAGGCAGCAGAUCACGAAGAGAGUGGUAUACAAUAAUAGACAGGACAGGAAACUCUCACUCUCCUCUUGGACAUCUUGUAAAUAAGAUGUUGGACAUGAAUCAUUGACGGGGAGCUUACGUUUUCUUGCACAUCCAAUUGAGUGAGAGUGUGUUAUAUAAGAGCACAAUAGUGGACUGUAUUCUUGCUUCCAACUCUUCUUGUUUUGACAAGCUACGGACUUUGGUACUUUUCAAACAAUCAUCAGAGAUGCAGUUUAAGUAUUUAUUAUUUGAUCAAUUCCUAAAUGGAAAAAUAUGUGAAGGAGACUUACAUUUAACAAGGAUAUGUAUGUAUGUGGAGAAGAUGACAAUGUUUUUUCUCUUUCUGACUUGUGUGUGCCCUUUUCUUGCACCUGCAAAAAUCUAGAGUGCAAUCCAAAUUUAGCAAUUUUACGCUCCUGAUUACAGUAGGAGCACUUAACUUUGGCUAGAUUAUGAUUCCUUUAUUUGCAUGCAUAAUAUUCUCUCUUCCAAAAUACUUGGCUAUGUAAACUUAAAGCCAUCUAAUCUUGUUUUAUUGUAGUAUUUUCUCAGGAUGUAUUUCAAGCCUUUUCACUCACUAGUGUAAAAUUAUGAAGCCUGGGUAGUAAUGGAUCCCUGGUUUUGCUAAUGUUUUGUUUUGUUGCUCCCUGUGUCCUUCUUUUCACAGAUAUAAAAUAUUUUAUAUCAACUCACAUGUACAGUCAUCAUAACAGACAGUACUUCUAAAGCCUACUUAUAUGAUUUCUCCUCUCACCAUCUGAAGCUCUAUCCAUAUUCCAGGAGAUGAUAUAGAUACCUUUUUGCUUCCCUAUCCCUGUUUUUCCUCAAAGAAAAUUUCCUUAAUGGUACCUCCCGUCCUACACAUUUCCUCCCUGCCCCCCUUCUUUUCUCAUGGGUAAAACUUGCUGUUUAUUUUGAUUAGUCACAAAUACUAGGUGUUGUUUGAAAAGUGUUAAACUUAGCAGGCCCAUACAGAUAAUGUGAGACGGGUCACUGGCUGUGAUAAAGAGUAAGAUAUGGUGGGAAUUAACCUGAAUCGUUUAUGGGGCGCUCCUGAUUCUCCUCCUUUUCAGCCUAUCAGUUAAGGACACUGUAAAUAUAUGGUCUGGUUUAGUAUUAAGAUGGUGCUCUAAAAAUAAACCCAUAUUCAGAGGCCAAACAUUUUCUGAAAUGUUUUGUACUGAAAGCCAAACCAGACUACCUAUGACAUGAAGAAUUUAUAUUAUUGUACAAAUAAUUGCCCUGAUUUACUUGGGUGCAUUAGAUGUUGAUCUGACCAUACAAGUACAACAGAAAGGUAUCUAGUGUGGCAUGAUUUUCAUGGGAUGACCUGUAAUAAACAUGGCAAUAUGCUCCAUGGAAAACACAUUCUUGCAUGCAGAAGAUAAAAUUCAUGCCAUCUCCAGGUAAGGCUGGGAAAGACUUCCAGCUGUAGCCCUCGAAGGCAGCUGCCACUUGGAGAAAGUAUUACUGAGCUACAUCAGGAAUGAGCAACUUGAUCUCCCCAACUUACCUUUUGGGAGCUCUUUGAUGCACCUCUGAUUAGGGCUUCCUAGCAAUCAGAAUCAGAUUUGGGCUGCAAAAAUCCAGAUGACCUUUAGAUGGAAGCUAAAUUGCUUUGCUGCCAUCCAUUGGUUGUCUGGAGGUUUGCAGCCCAGAUCUGGUAGCUCUACCUCUGAUCCUGAGUGCUGAAAACAAGUAACAGAGU